rnacentral:lncRNA from 12 species
CCCAGGCCCCCCCAAGCUCUCUCGGGGGGCCGGGCCGCAAAGCUGGGGAUUCCGGAAAGCCCUGGAUCCCGACACAAAGGAGCUGCUCCCGGAAAGCAGCGGGGUGCUGAGGGGCUGCGGCCGCAGGACCAGGCCGGGGAGCAGCGCUCAGCUCGGGGACCCUGGGCGCGGUCUCAGCUCCGGGGGCGGCAUCUGUCAAGCCGGGGUGAGCCGUACCUGGGGUCUGUGUGCUGUGGCUUCAGUGUCUUCACUGGAAUUGCACGGAUGGGGAGGAGACGGGAGAGCGGGGACAAUUGGCCUCUAUGCUCCCCACGACAAUGCACUGAUUUAAAGGCUGAUUCAGUGCUUGCCAGCCCGCCCCCCCCGCCACGAGGUCGCAGUAGAGGCAGAGAGCUGGCACAGACCCUCCCGCCUUCCCUCCCUGGACGUGCUUCUGUCGCCCGCCCCUCUGGACACGGCCGACGGACGCUGAUCCCAACACCCGAUCCCAACGCCAAUCCCAACUCCAGAGGCUCCUUUCUAACCUGUGAGACCAGCUGGAGGGCCCGUGAGGAGCAACGUGAGCGCACCCAAUGCUCAGACUGGAAAAUCUCGAAGGGCCCCUGGAACUCUAAGACCCCGGGGGCCGAACCUCACCCUCCCCUGCCCGCUGAGUUCACGCAGCCCCAAGAACGCCAUCUGGGCAAGAACUGGGCAAGAACGGGACGAGGUGCUUCGGCUAGGCCAGGCCAGGCAAGGAGAAGACCAGCCCCCGGAGGAAAGCAGGCCCCCCUGGCCCUCCCCACCCUCCAGCGACCCAGACCCGGGAGCUCAGAACAGGGAGGCUGGCGGGUGCGUCUACACUAAACGCGAAGCAAGAGGGCACAGAAUGGGCCUUUCUCGAUCCGCCUGCUCAAGACGCUCCAAAAGCCUGACCCCCAGCUCCACGGCUGGCCAGAUCCCGUGUAACCUGGGGCAACUAGUCCCAAGACGCCAAUGGGACGAGACAGCAACAGGUGGGCGGGCUCGUUGGCAGGUGCACGUGCCUGUAAUGGGAAGCUCGAGCCCAUGCGCCGGCAGGAACCACACGGAAGCAAAGAAGCAAAACAGGUCCUCAGGCCACAUCCCACCAGGCUCGAAGUUCUCUCAGACACACGCACACACACACACACACUCCUCGUAAAUAUGUCCUAGAUCCAAGAAAUCUCUGUCUCCUGAGCUUUGCCCAAAGCGUAGUUGCCUCUGAGGCGUCCCAUGCUCUCCACGCCCUGGAUGAAGAGUUCCAGCUCCCCCAGCAGCUUCCCGGAGCCUCCGGAUGACAACGGGGCGGGGGGAUAAUGACGCGGUCUCACCCUCAAGGAUCCUGCAUGCAAAUCUCAACAUGGGAACUGCCCUGACAGGUGUAUGGGAGAAAAGACAAAGUCCAUCCUAUUGCCCACGAGGUCAGGGGUCAAGUUCCCAAGUGCUCUGGUGGCAGAAAGCUCCAGCUGCAGGAGGAAACUGUAGCCCACUUGCCCCAAAACCCUGUGAAAAUUAACUUCUCAGCUUUCUGCCUCCUCGUUAUACAUUAGG